AAAGCUGUUUCUUCCCAUCAGCAUGUCUCUGUCUUUAUUCCCAGAAGAUGGCAGGAGGAAAGAGCAGCCUGAUCACUACAAACAGACUUUGAUUUGGGCUGUUGAAAAGGUCACUAUACGUCUUCCUCGGCGUUACAUUCUGGGUGCAGACUGGUGACGCUUGGACCCGAAGCCCGCUUCUCAGAUCACUGUGACACGAUGGACCUGAGCCCUAGGACCAUGCCCCAGGACUACCUGACAUGAUGACUCCUUGCUGUCCCCAGUCCACCUGGCCAUGCUGCUGCUCCAGUUUCAACUGGCCUGGGCCCUAGGACCAUGUCCCAGGACUACCUGACAUGAUGACUCCUUGCUGUCCCCAGUCCACCUGGCCAUGCUGCUGCUCCAGUUUCAACUGUUCUGCCUUACUAUUAUUCAACCAUACUGGUCAUUUAUGAACAUUUGAACAUCUUGGCCACGUUCUGUUAUAAUCUCCACCCGGCACAGCCAGAAGAGGACUGGCCACCCCACAUAUGCUCUCUCUAAUUCUCUCUUUCUUUCUCUCUCUCGGAGGACCUGAGCCCUAGGACCGUGCCCCAGGACUACCUGACAUGAUGACUCCUUGCUGUCCCCAGUCCACCUGACUGUGCUGCUGCUCCAGUUUCAACUCUUCUGCCUUAUUAUUAUUCGACCAUGCUGGUCAUUUAUGAACAUUUGAACAUCUUGGUCAUGUUCUGUUAUAAUCUCUACCCGGCACAGCCAGAAGAGGACUGGCCACCCCACAUAGCCUGGUUCCUCUCUAGGUUUCUUCCUAGGUUUUGGCCUUUCUAGGGAGUUUUUCCUAGCCACCGUGCUUUUACACCUGCAUUGUUUGCUGUUUGGGGUUUUAGGCUGGGUUUCUGUACAGCACUUUGAGAUAUCAGCUGAUGUACGAAGGGCUAUAUAAAUACAUUUGAUUUGAUUUGAUUUGAUAAUGGUUAUAAUGGUUAUAAUGGUUAUCAUGGUUAUGAGGGUUAUAACGGUUAUAAGGGCCAUAUUGGUUAUAAUGGUUAUAAUGGUUGUAAUGGUUAUGAAGGUUAUAAUGGUUAUAAUGGUGAUAAGGGUUAUAAUGGUAAUAGGGGUUAUAAUGGUUAUAAUGGUAAUAGGGGUUAUAAUGGUGUCACGUUCUGACCUUUAUUUCCUUUCUUUUGUAUUUAUUUAGUAUGGUCAGGGCGUGAGUUGCGUGGGCAGUCUAUGUUUGUUUUUCUAGGUUUUGGGUAUUUCUAUGUUUCGGCCUAGUAUGGUUCUCAAUCAGAGGCAGGUGUCAUUAGUUGUCUCUGAUUGAGAAUCAUACUUAGGUAGCCUGGGUUUCACUGUGUGUUUGUGGGUGAUUGUUCCUGUCUUUGUGUUUGCACCAGAUGGGACUGUUUUAGGUUUUCUCACGUUUGUUGUUUUUGUUAGUGUGUAGUUUCUUUAUAAAUUAAAGAACAUGAAUAACCA